UAAAAUCCUUUAGCUCUUGCAUGCCAACUACGAAUCUCUGCCCGAUUCAUUACCGAAUUUAUAACAUUGUAUUAGAAUUGUUCAUUUCUAUUUUGUCUUUUUAAUCAGAUUAUAUUCAACUUAAACAAAUUCAAAUUUCAACUCAUUGCUUAUUUAAAAGAAUUUUCCUUCCAUCACAUCAAUUUAACGGUCUCAAGAAGAAGUUAUUCCAUGAAAAGUAAGAAAAACUUCAUGCCAAUAAUUUAUAAGAAAAUGUCCUUUUACCCGGUUUCAUUCAAUUAUGCGAAUUUAUCAACGUUUUAUCAUCCAUUUCGCUUUAGAGAUUAAUCGAUAUUGGUGACCGCCAACCUAGUGAAAAUAUGAGCGACCCACGCGAUUUUGUAAGUUUUACUUGAUUGAAAAUGUGAGACUUCUCACGUGAGUGUGUUCGACAUGAAAUUUGAGGGUGGUUGGGUUACAUACAACACAAAAAAUGUGAAAAAAGUGAAUCGAGUUGAUUUUUACUGCAAUUCUUAUCAAUGCAGGUUAUUUUAAUUACCCCAAACCUUGACCGAAAUCGCAAUCUGACGGUGAUUAUUGAGGGACGCUUCAAAUCCCUUUGAAAUACCUGAAGGAAAAUUCAUCAGCCUUUAUAUAGACUGACCCAACCCACAGUAAGGACAUUGAUAGAAGUACUGAGUCCAGUUCCAGUUCAACUUCGUUGCACAGCGAUUCUCAUGGAAUUAUAGGCACGUAUGAGUAAUGAGACUCUGCAUACCCUUUAAAAUCAUAUCUGAUGACACCUAUGCUGCGUGCACCAGAAGGAUCACCAUUGGCUAGAUAUACCCAACAUCAUAUUCAGAGUACAUGCUCUGUCGAGAGAUGUAUCGGUGUUCUGGAGGGAAGAUAGCGAUGCCUUCGUAAAGAAAGAACUUUACAUUACACACCCGAAUUUGCAGGUUGAUUCAUCAAUGCCUGUUGCGUUUUACACAACAUAGCAUUGCGGUGGAGAGUACCCAACGUCCAACAGCACCUGGAUGAAAUCGACCUUUUGCGUCC